GAUGAACGCUGGCGGCGUGCCUAACACAUGCAAGUCGAACGGAGAUUACGGACGGAAGUUUUCGGAUGGAAGCCUGUAAUUCUUAGUGGCGGACGGGUGAGUAACGCGUGGGCAACCUGCCCUAUACAGGGGGAUAGCAGCUGGAAACGGCUGGUAAGACCGCAUAAGUCGGUUAAAUCGCAUGAUUUGAUCGGGAAAUGAGCAAUCAGGUAUAGGAUGGGCCCGCGUCCGAUUAGCCAGUUGGCAGGGUAAAAGCCUACCAAAGCGACGAUCGGUAGCCGGACUGAGAGGUCGGACGGCCACAUUGGGACUGAGACACGGCCCAAACUCCUACGGGAGGCAGCAGUGGGGGAUAUUGCACAAUGGAGGAAACUCUGAUGCAGCGACGCCGCGUGAGUGAAGAAGUACUUCGGUAUGUAAAGCUCUAUCAGCAGGGAAGAUGAUGACGGUACCUGACUAAGAAGCCCCGGCUAACUACGUG
rnacentral:rRNA from 1 species